rnacentral:rRNA from 1 species
GACGAGCCUCACAAACGUUAUUCGGAAUUACUGGGCUUAAAGGGUGCGUAGGCGGCGCGGCAAGUUGGGUGUGAAAUCCCUCGGCUCAACCGAGGAACUGCGCCCAAAACUGCCGUGCUCGAGGAAGAUAGAGGUGAGCGGAACUUACGGUGGAGCGGUGAAAUGCGUUGAUAUCGUAAGGAACACCCGUGGCGAAAGCGGCUCACUGGGUCUUUUCUGACGCUGAUGCACGAAAGCUAGGGGAGCAAACGGG